rnacentral:rRNA from 1 species
AUUGCAGAAUUCAGUGAAUCAUCGAAUCUUUGAACGCACCUUGCGCCCUUUGGUAUUCCGAAGGGCACACCUGUUUGAGUGUCG